CCCUAAUACCCUUAACCUGAAUCGGAUUGAACUAGUUUACAAAAAAAAAUUUCCCCCAAAAAAUAGUUUACAAAGAUUUUUUCUGAACAGAAAGCUUGGUAAACAAUACAAACUGGAAAUGGAUCAGGAACUGAAACCAUAACCUGAAUCGGAUUGAACUAGACAGUUAAACUCUCAAGUCUCAAUCGUGGCAGUCACUUACUUACAGUAAGUAAUAAUCUGUGAUUCCCUUCUGCUCCCCAUCUGUUAAGAGCUGCGUCAAUGCAGACCAGCAUCCCUGUCCAUUGCAGAAGUAAUUCCUUUAGCUUGAAGAAAGCACUUGCCGGGAAAUGAAGCUCUGCAACAGUUCAUCCGUUGCUGAUGUCUACUACGUUGUGCACAGUACACCUCUUUGUCAAGGUAUGUCGCGCUUCUCCUCUCCUAUUCCCAGCAAAAGCCACCCAUUUGAACGAAUUCUUCAAAACCCUAAUUUUUUUCACAUUCGCAAACCCUCGAAUAGCCCGAGCUUGUCAAAUGAGGAACUAUUCUUCUUCGGCUACUUCUACUACCACCACCACCGUUACAAACUUAGAUUUUCUUGAUCAGUUCUUGCCUUUUGGAAACUUGGAUUUGCCUAAUAUCGUUAAUGCAUAUGAAAGGCGUCAAAUUGUGGUCGGGUUAUCGAAAAUGAUCAAACAAGAACAAGGGUAUCUCCUAAAGGGUUUUUCUCGAAGUUUUUGCCCCUUUUUCCUGGUAGAGAUUAUGAAAUUCUUUAAUAAUCGUCAAUCGGCUUUUGCAUUCUUCAAACUUGCAUUUCGGAAUGACUCAGAGAGCUCAAUUCAGUCGUGUUGUCUUGUGGCUCAUCUUCUUGCGGCGGAAGAGGUUCGUUUCCUUUCACAAGAUGUCCUUUCUUGUGUAAUUGCAAGAGUUGGACCUGGUAGAAGUAAAGAUGUGGUGGAUUUUGUGUGGAGGGAUCACCAUUUGUACCAGUCGAAUUUCUCGGCUCUCGAUUCACUUAUGAGGGCCUUUAUGAGGGUUGGUAUGGUUACAGAUGCAAUGGAGCUUGUGGGUAGAAUAAGGAACCUUGGGUUGAGGCCAAGUUUGUCUGCCAUGAGCAUUCUCCUCAAGCAGUUACUUCAGAGGGGUGAUUAUAGUAAUGUUUGGAAAUUGUUCAGGGAUUUGGUUGGUAAAGGACCUUCUCCUUCUAAUUUUACUUUUAAUGUUGUAAUUAAUGGGUUUUGUAAAAGAGGAUAUCUUCAAGUUGGGAAGAGUCUACUGCACUUGAUGCACAAAUUCCACUGUGAACCUGAUGUCUUUACGUAUAACAUUUUGAUCAAUGCUUACUGCGUCAGUGGCCGAACAUCAGAUGCUCUUGGCUGGGUCCAUUGGAUGAUCUCGAUGGGUUGCAGACCAAGUGCUGUUACUUUCAGUACACUUAUCAAUGCUUAUUGUAAGGAAGGGAAUAUGGUUGAAGCAAGAGCACACUUUGAUGGACUUCAAGAUGUUGGUAUUGCUCCAAACACCACCAUGUAUAACAUCCUCAUUGAUGGAUAUGUCAAGGCAAGAGAGAUUGGGCAGGCUAAUUUACUUUAUGAGGAAAUGCAGGGUAAGGGCUUAGCUCCGGAUGUUAUAACUUUUAACAUUCUUGUGUCUGGGAACAACAGGUUUGGGAGGGAAGAAGAUGGUGACAGGUUACUGAGGGAUAUAUCCAUGUCAAGUUUGGUUCCCAAUCAUUCAUUGUCAGAUAUUUCAAUUGCAGGGUUGUGUUGGGCUGGUAGGCUUGAUGAUGCCAUGGAAUUCCUACGAGAUAUGCUUCAGAAGGGGGUACUUCCUAGUAUGGUUGCAUUCAACUCAAUAAUUGCAGGUUAUAGCAAAGUGGGCAUAGAUAACCAGGCCUUUGAAGCUUACAGGGUUAUGAUAGAGUUUGGUCUGACACCUUCAUCUUCCACUUGUAGUUCUCUGCUGAUGGGCUUGUGCAAAAAGGGAAGGCUGCAAGAGGCUGGAGAACUUAUGGAUAAGAUGAUGGAGAAGGGUUUCCCCAUCAACAGAGUAGCUUUCACUUUGCUUUUAGAUGGUUAUUUCAGGGUGGGAGACAUUACAGGGGCUCAGGUGUUGUGGGAUGAGAUGGAACAGAGGGGGAUAUCUCCAGAUAUGGUUGCAUUCUCAGCCUUCAUAGAUGGGCUUUCAAAAUCAGGUCUUGUGGAAGAGGCCUAUGAAGCAUAUGAAGAAAUGUUGAGGAGGGAUUUUGUGCCAAACAACUUCACUUACAACUCCUUGAUUGGUGGGUUUGUUAAUUGUGGAAAAUUGAGCGAAGCAUUGAAGUUGCAGGUGAAGAUGAGACAAAGAGGACUUAUCCCAGAUAUAUUCACUACUAAUAUGAUCAUUAAUGGGUAUUGUAAACAGGGCAGGAUGAAUUCAGCGAAGGAUGUAUUUAUGCACAUGCAGAGAAAUGGGUUGACCCCUGACAUUGUUACGUACAACACUUUGAUAAGUGGGUAUUGCAAGGCUUUUGAUGUGGUUAACACUGAGGAUUUUGUGAGUAAGAUGCAUGCUAGCUGGUGUAACCCGGAUAUUACAACGUAUAAUAUACGGAUCCAUGGUUUCUGCAGUAUCCGCAGGAUGAGUCACGCUGUGAUGAUGUUGGAUGAACUUGUUUUAUCAGGUCUUCGUGGGCGUUGUCGAGUCUUGGCAAUAUCAUAAAGCUUCUACUAAUUGGCGAUAGUGGACAGAGUGUGGGCCAGAAACUUCAAUUCAGAGAGGUUUGAUGUUGCAGUGGCAAGAGUUGUAGCAGAAACAAGAGUUUUAGGUAUGAUGCAGAGUUCCUCUAAUAUUGAUUUCUUUCAUUUAUCUGUAAAUGUUUUAAUUGGUACUAUUUAAGUUUUGGCUGGUGACAUUGUUUUCUAUCUCCCGUCUGCUGAGUACUGCCUACCUCUGGUGGUGGCUUGUUUGUGGCUGCAAAAGGCCAUGAUUUCCAGAUAUCCAUUUCUUUUCUUCCUUGCCAUCUCUCCUGAGUAUUACCAGUAUCUUAGUAGCAGAAGCAGGUUCAUAUUGUCUUCUGACAUAUGUAAGCUAUUCCAAUCUACUUCCCAGAUGGUUUGCUCGUUCCUGGGGCUCCUGUUAGAAAAUAGUCUUGAUAUUAUUUCAUAGAGAAAAUGUCAUAAUAAUGGUUCCAACCCUGUCCUUUAUUACUCUUCAUGGAAUUGUAUUUUAUUGAACUAGUAUUUGAAUGACCUUUGGCAUUAGUGUUGGAGUCAUGGGAAUCCCAAGUUCUACAGGAGGUUUGUGUACACAGUAAUCAGAUAAAAUCCCAAGUUCUUGGAUGAAGCUGAUCUCAAGAACUUUUCUGUGGUCUUUAGUAGAUUAAAAGAAAACGAUUUUCAACCUGUGCAAAUAGUGGUCAAGAAUAAGGUACUAUUUUCAGUGGGGGACAUUGAUGUACGCAAUCAGCCAUGAAAGGGGUAAAAGAUAACCAGAGACACCUUCCAAAGUGACCAACUGGGAAGUCGCUGCCUUUCCUAGCUUUGCGGCUAACUAAUGUGGGCUGCUUCUCAUCUAGCAAUUCGAGCUGUGCUAGACGCUCUUUAUGUUGUUCCAUAAACUAAUGAAAACUGCAAGAACUUUUGUAUCUUGUAUCAGAUGGAUCCUCUAUUAGGGUCUUACCAUGCUGCUUAUCCUUUCCAGUCUGUUGGUCACUGCUCAGGUGAAUAUUCUAUAAGUGGGAUUUUAGUGUAAUUAAAUGAGGAUUAAGCCAUCGUUGUAGUCAUUAUUCGUAUAUACAAUAGAGAUAAAAUAUUCUAAUUACUACAAUCCUUGGUGAAUGGAGUUUUAAUUAUCCAUGAAUCAUUAAGUUAAAAGUUUCAAUCCAUUGGUUGUAACCAUGAAUCAUUAAGUUAAAAGUUUCAAUCCAAUGGUUGUAACCCACGGAGGGACUUCUACAUAACCAGAACCUCCCAUCUGUGUUAGGUUUACAAUAGAAAAAGAUACAAGCAUAAGAAAAUAAGUGCCAAGACAUAAGCUAAUGGCUCUCUCUCUUUACUUAAACAUUAGUGGUAUUGGUAUUUACAUCCUCCAAAACUCUAAAGAGAUUCUCAUGCUUGGAUUUUUAGAUGCUAUCAUUCCCUCACAAGUACCUGUUGUAUUUCUCUCGUUUAGAGAAGUUUAUCCACUUGAGCAUUGCUUCCAUCAAGUGGGCUAUGAACUUUAUUGGAAUCAGACCCUUUCUAGUAAAAGUUCAGAUUCGGGAGAAGCAAAUUCCAAUUGGACUCCAGGUAAUUGCCAAUAGGAGAGGAGGCAUCACUUAACUGGAACCAAAAAUUUCAGUUCAACUUGGUCCGAAUCAUAGUACAUUUGAAGACAUUAUUUCCAAAACAAAGAAGAUAGUUGGUGGUUGCUGUCAAUUGUAUUGUAGUCCAAAUCUUGCACCUUGAAGUCAAAUGAAACUAUUACCAAAUGAAAAAAAAGAAAUUUGAAAUACUAAGACUAUUGCAAAACAAUGAUUAGAGAAAAUUCAAGAUUGAACAAAUGCCAGGGCUAUUUGAUUAUUAACCCACCAUUGUAAAUUCCAUGUGGUUUAAGUUCUCGAUGAUUGUUUUUCCACAGGUUGGGUGAAUUUAUGGAUCAGUUACAGAAGAUAUAUUGACAUGGUUCAUGAUACACUGCAGUGGAUGGAGGUUGGUGUAAUGUAUGCACAAUAGAGCUACUUCUAAGGGUUCAGAACCAAUAAAUCUUUCUGAUUGGUUGCACCAAUUUCUGAGGUGGGCUCUUGGAUUAGCCUUUACUGCCCCUUCUGGUAUGGCUAUGGUGGAAAUUGAAGUGGUUCGAGGGACUUGCUUUCCUAUUGCACUAUUCUUGCCAUUUGUCUUCCUACAGGAAGUUUAAUCAUUUCCACUCUGACCAACAUGGCUACAUAUCGUUCAUGGGUCUCUUCCUCUCCAUUAUCGCAACUGGUGUACUGAGCUCCAAUGGAGUGGUUUCAGUAUCCAAGACUAAUGGCGCAAUGAUCAGUUAAUGGGUGAUUGGAGGUGUCUCAGCUCAGUGAGUACCUGAAAGGCUUUUAAAUAUUUCCCCAUGUCAUCUUCCUCUUUGGUUGAAGUACACUCCAAAGAGUAGAAUUUUCCAAUUCAUGGUCACAAUUCAUGUAAGCUCAAAAGUCUACGAGGAUCUGUAAGAAGGUUUCCUUGGAAGGAUUUGGACUUGACAACUUGAUGGUAACGUGUACGUCCGCAAACUGAUAGAUUUGUGGACUGUGACGUGGAAGCUGAAAAGAACAUUGUAAUUUAGAAUGUUUAGUAAGCUAUAUUCUACACUAAAAA